rnacentral:snRNA from 1 species
AUCGCUUCUUGGCCUUUUGGCUAAGAUCAAGUGUAGUGUAGAUCAUACACUUUCUUUUUCCUCUUGAGCUCCAUGAGGAGUUCCCUAUUCAUCCAAACUGAUCUUCUGCCCUGCUUGCUUGACUUACAACAC